rnacentral:rRNA from 1 species
GACGAACGCUGGCGGCGUGCCUAAUACAUGCAAGUUGAGCGCUGAAGGUUGGUACUUGUACCGACUGGAUGAGCAGCGCACGGGUGAGUAACGCGUGGGGAAUCUGCCUUUGAGCGGGGGACAACAUUUGGAAACGAAUGCUAAUACCGCAUAAAAACUUUAAACACAAGUUUUAAGUUUGAAAGAUGCAAUUGCAUCACUCAAAGAUGAUCCCUCGUUGUAUUAGCUAGUUGGUGAGGUAAAGGCUCACCAAGGCGAGGAUACAUAGCCGACCUGAGAGGGUGAGCGGCCACAUUGGGACUGAGACACGGCCCAAACUCCUACGGGAGGCAGCAGUAGGGAAUCUUCGGCCAUGGACGAAAGUCUGACCGAGCAACGCCGCGUGAGUGAAGAAGGUUUUCGGAUCGUAAAACUCUGUUGGUAGAGAAGAACGUUGGUGAGAGUGGAAAGCUCAUCAAGUGACGGUAACUACCCAGAAAGGGACGGCUAACUACGUG